GGACUACUGGGGUUUCUAAUCCCGUUUGCUCCCCUAGCUUUCGCGCCUCAGCGUCAGUGAAGGUCCAGUCCGUCGCUUUCGCCACCGGCGUUCCUGAUGAUAUCAACGCAUUUCACCGCUCCACCAUCAGUUCCACAGACCCCUACCUCCCUCGAGACUACCAGUAUCCAAGGCAGUUUUCCGGUUGAGCCGAAAGAUUUCACCCCGGACUUGGUAGCCCGCCUACGCGCCCUUUAAGCCCAGUGAUUCCGAACAACGUUUGGACGGUUCGUCUUACCGCGGCUGCUGGCAC
rnacentral:rRNA from 3 species